ACUCCUACGGGAGGCAGCAGUAGGGAAUUUUCCGCAAUGGACGAAAGUCUGACGGAGCAAUGCCGCGUGAGUGAUGAAGGUUUUCGAAUCGUAAAGCUUCUGUUGUAAGGGAAGAAUAGCAGUAGUAGGAAAUGACUACUGUGUUGACGGUACCUUACCAGAAAGCCACGGCUAACUACGUGCCAGCAGCCGCGGUAAUACGUAGGUGGCAAGCGUUAUCCGGAAUUAUUGGGCGUAAAGCGCAUGUAGGCGGCUCUUUAAGUCUGAUGUG
rnacentral:rRNA from 1 species